rnacentral:lncRNA from 1 species
CAGGUUUAAAGUAUUUAAUGCAAUGGGGAAAACAAAUAUUUCAUCAAAUAAAUUUAAGUCAUAUAAUCUUAUGAAUAUCCUUUUCAUAUUGGAUACAAAUUUUAUUAAGUCUAAUGCAGACAUUUCCUAGUCAAAGCGUUUCAACUGAGGUACUACACAGGCGUCAAAGGCGUCAUUAUGGAGUAAAGGGGGGGGGGGGGGGGGGGGGGUGCCAAAAGGCGUCAUUAUGGAGGAAAGGGUUAAAGAAGUAAAGCAUCAUGCAGUGUUGACACAGUGUUUUUCCAUGUUUCUUAUAUAAAUUGUAUUGAUUUUCAUGAUGGAGAUUUUAAUGCUCAUAAUAAAACUAUUAAUUUCCUGGUUUUUUAAAACAAUAAUACUAGAAACAGUUUUAUCUCCAAAAUCACAGUUUAUUGUGUUUUGACAUUUUUCUUGUAGAGAAUGUUUAAAUAAAUUCAAUUUUAAUAUGUAUAUUUUUAUUUUGACAAUGAAAUUAUUUGUGUUUGAAUAGAUAAAAAGAAAAUUUUUAUUAUGUAAAGAAAAUGAUGGAUUAUAAAUACGCAACAUAAUUAUCCAUGUUAUUCUUUUGAAUUAUUGUGCUUCUACAUUGUUUACUAUGCAUUUUUUGCUUCCAAACACAUCCUGGUGAAUAUGUUAAAUUUAUCAGUUGUAUGCAUAUAUCAAAUCUUCAUAUUUAUUAAAAUAAAACAUAUUUG